rnacentral:rRNA from 1 species
GAUGAACGCUGGCGGCGUGCCUAAUACAUGCAAGUCGAGCGAACAGACGAGGAGCUUGCUCCUCUGACGUUAGCGGCGGACGGGUGAGUAACACGUGGAUAACCUACCUAUAAGACUGGGAUAACUUCGGGAAACCGGAGCUAAUACCGGAUAAUAUAUUGAACCGCAUGGUUCAAUAGUGAAAGACGGUUUUGCUGUCACUUAUAGAUGGAUCCGCGCCGCAUUAGCUAGUUGGUAAGGUAACGGCUUACCAAGGCAACGAUGCGUAGCCGACCUGAGGGGGUGAUCGGCCACACUGGAACUGAGACACGGUCCAGACUCCUACGGGAGGCAGCAGUAGGGAAUCUUCCGCAAUGGGCGAAAGCCUGACGGAGCAACGCCGCGUGAGUGAUGAAGGUCUUCGGAUCGUAAAACUCUGUUAUUAGGGAAGAACAAAUGUGUAAGUAACUAUGCACGUCUUGACGGUACCUAAUCAGAAAGCCACGGCUAACUACGUGC